CUUCAGUCCAAUCUGGGCCCAACAGAGGGAAGUCCUUUGCCAAAUCCUAAGGUAGCAGGCGGGGAAGGGAAGGGGGUUUCUCCCAUUCUUAAUAUGUUUCAAAGACUGGAUUACUAGUUCCUAACUAGCACACCAGUACAGACAAGGUCUGUCUUUGCUCACCCCUUCCCUUUCUUCCUUGUCCCUCCAGCACGAGGUGGCAGCAUGAUGGCAGCCACCUCCCUCCCACAGGCCUCUCGGUCUCACCAGCACUUAGCCUGAAGGAGAGUGACCAUCCGUCCAGUGGCUGUACCGUUCUGUCCUGUCCCAGAAGCAGUGAGUGAAAGUUCCUGUUGCUUCACAUCAUGGCAGAUCUAGAGGUUAGAAGUCUAAAAUGGGUCUGCAGGACUGCGUUCCUUCUGGACACUCUGGGGGAAAUCCAUCCCCUUGACUUUUCCAGCUUCUAGAGGCCAUCUCUUUUCCUGGACCCACAUCACUCCAGCCUCUGCUUCCAUUAUCACGUCUCCUUCUCUGAUUCUGACCCUCUUGCCUCCCUCUUAUGAGGACCCUUGUGAUGACCUUGGCUCACCUGGAUAAUCCAGGGUAAUCUCCCCAUCUCAAGAUCCUUAAUUUAAUCACGUUUGCAAAGUCCCUUUAGACAUGUAAAAGAACACAUUCACAGGUUCUGGGAGUUAGG
rnacentral:lncRNA from 1 species